rnacentral:rRNA from 1 species
AGUGAACGCUGGCGGCAGGCCUAAUACAUGCAAGUCGAACGGCAGCACAGCAGAGCUUGCUCUGUGGGUGGCGAGUGGCGGACGGGUGAGGAAUACGUGGGAAUCUGCCCAGUCGUGGGGGAUAACGUAGGGAAACUUACGCUAAUACCGCAUGCGCCCUUCGGGGAAAGCCGGGGACCUUCGGGCCUGGCGCGAUUGGAUGAGCCCACGUCGGAUUAGCUAGUUGGCGGGGUAAAGGCCCACCAAGGCGACGAUCCGUAGCUGGUCUGAGAGGAUGAUCAGCCACACUGGAACUGAGACACGGUCCAGACUCCUACGGGAGGCAGCAGUAGGGAAUAUUGGACAAUGGGCGCAAGCCUGAUCCAGCCAUGCCGCGUGAGUGAAGAAGGCCCUCGGGUUGUAAAGCUCUUUGUCCGGAAAGAAAGCGCCGGGUUAAUACCCUGGUGUCCUGACGGUACCGGAAGAAUAAGCACCGGCUAACUUCGUGCCAGCAGCCGCGGUAAU